GGCCAGUUGGUUCAGUUGGUUAGAAUGUGGUGCUGAUAACACCAAGGUCGAGGGUUCAAUCCCUGUAUUGGCCA